CUAUAAUUACAGUGCACUCAGCUUCACAGUUGGUUUUGACCUAGAAAGGGUGUGUUCCUGGGGUUAUUUUAACAAUCUGUUGGCAGUGCUCACAGGCACUACCAGGCCUCACAAGGAAAACAUCUGAAAUUCGACAGGCACUUGACAGUCUUGUUAGUGGCUGCCAGUGUUAAAUGUGUCUGGAUAUUUCUGAGCAUUCUGUGCUGCUUUCACCAGUUAUUUCUGGACAUAUGAAUGCUGAAAAAUUGCUUCUGCAAGACCAGAAUUGCUUUUCACCUAUUAAGAAGCAAGAAUUGGUCUCACGAACUAUAAAGACAAUAUUAAAUUGGACUUUUCUUUGCUAUGCAGCAAAGGAGAAUUUUCCAUUCAAAAAAAGUGUGGAGGAUAGGCCAAUGUUUCUAAAUCACACAUAAUUAAGUAAAAUGGCCUGCAAAAUUGUGAGUUUUAUAUGACUUUUACUUGGAAUUUUAUACCUUCAGGGGGCAGAAAGGGGUGCAGAAAAGCAGCACUGGUAUAAACAUGACUGAGAAUAGCCUGUAGCAUAAUAGAUAGACCACACUAUUGUUGCAUAAAACAAAAUUUUCAGCAAAAUACCCCUGCUCUGCAAGAAAUUCUGUUCCUAUCAGGGGAGGAUAGUGGAAGAGCUCAGAAAAGUGGCUGACAAAGAUGUAACAGGUGGAUUUUUCUCAACAGAGGGUUAACUUCACUCUUUCCUGUGCAAACCUGAGCUCUGAAUUGCUCUGAAGUUCUGCUGUCACUUGUGCCUCGCUGUUCUGAUCAUUUAACCCAAAGGCCUGCAAGGCACCCCCGGCCAAGGCACGAAGAAACAUCCCUCCCCUCUGGAUGACGAAGGUGUCCUGGCAGAUUGGCAGAGCACCGCUUGUGGCAGGUGAUAUGUGUGUUAACAAUGGAUUACAAAGCCAAGGCACUGUGCUUUCUUACACAGAGAAAUUGCAAGAAAACGAUCAGUCAGGUCUGCUGAGGGAAUCUGAAAGAGAUGAAACCCAAGUACCUUCAAAAACUCCUUUUCUUUAGGCUCUGCAUGCAAGUGCACAUUGUACGGCCUCCAUGGAUAAACGAUGCUGGUUAAAAGCAAGGAAAGAAGAUCCUUCUAAAGUGACAUUAUUACAGAUGGCCACUGUGGGAAAGGGAUUCAUUUGCCAUCCCUUAUAAAUACAGUGGCUACACUUUACACAUCACAAGGCUUUUCUUACAUGCCCCAAAGGGUUGUGUAAUUCUAACAAAAGCUUCUGUUGCUCUGGCCCAGGAUAGUUGGGAUUUGAAGAAGUUUUUACAAGGUCUUGUCUGGUUAAAAUACAUUUUAUUAAAAGCUCAAGUCUGCUACUGCUUGCUAUGCUGAGAGAUGUUGUGGGCAGUGAGGAGAAAGGAAAAUUAGGCAAUGGAAAUUUGAUAGGUUGACAGACUUGAUUGAAAAUAAAAAUGCAUUAGGCCUUUCUUUUAGUCCUCUC
rnacentral:lncRNA from 1 species